GAUGAACGCUGGCGGCGUGCCUAAUACAUGCAAGUCGAGCGAAUGGAUUAAGAGCUUGCUCUUAUGAAGUUAGCGGCGGACGGGUGAGUAACACGUGGGUAACCUGCCCAUAAGACUGGGAUAAUUCCGGGAAACCGGGGCUAAUACCGGAUAACAUUUUGAACCGCAUGGUUCGAAAUUGAAAGGCGGCUUCGGCUGUCACUUAUGGAUGGACCCGCGUCGCAUUAGCUAGUUGGUGAGGUAACGGCUCACCAAGGCAACGAUGCGUAGCCGACCUGGGAGGGUGAUCGGCCACACUGGGACUGAGACACGGCCCAGACUCCUACGGGAGGCAGCAGUAGGGAAUCUUCCGCAAUGGACGAAAGUCUGACGGAGCAACGCCGCGUGGGUGAUGAAGGCUUUCGGGUCGUAAAACUCUGUUGUUAGGGAAGAACAAGUGCUAGUUGAAUAAGCUGACACCUUGACGGUACCUAACCAGAAAGCCACGGCUAACUACGUGCCAGCCGCCGCCGUAA
rnacentral:rRNA from 1 species